AUUUUGGACAAUGGGUGAAACCCUGAUCCAGCCAUCCCGCGUGUAUGACGAUUGCNUUNNGGUUGNANAGUACUUUUGGCAGGNNNNNAAAGGCAUCCCCUAACACGGGACGCUGCUGACGGUAUCUGCAGAAUAAGCACCGGCUAACUACGUGCCAGCAGCCGCGGUAAUACGUAGGGUGCAAGCGUUCAUCGGAAUUACUGGGCGUAAAGCGUGUGUAGGCGGUUCGGAAAGAAAGAUGUGAAAUCCCAGGGCUCAACCUUGGAACUGCAUUUUUAACUGCCGAGCUAGAGUAUGUCAGAGGGGGGUAGAAUUCCACGUGUAGCAGUGAAAUGCGUAGAUAUGUGGAGGAAUACCGAUGGCGAAGGCAGCCCCCUGGGAUAAUACUGACGCUCAGACACGAAAGCGUGGGGAGCAAACAGG
rnacentral:rRNA from 1 species